rnacentral:rRNA from 1 species
CGAAAGCCUGACGGAGCCAGACCGCGUGAGGGAAGAAAGUCUUUGGAUCGUAAACCUCUUUUCUCAGGGAAGAAGAUCUGACGGUACCUGAGGAAUCAGCCUCGGCUAACUCCGUGCCAGCAGCCGCGGUAAUACGGAGGAGGCAAGCGUUAUUCGGAAUUAUUGGGCGUAAAGCGUCCGCAGGGGGCUCAUCAAGUCUGCUGUCAAAGGUCGGAGCUCAACUCCGGUUCGGCAGUGGAAACUGGUGGGCUAGAGGGCGACAGGGGUAGAGGGAAUUCCCAGUGUAGCGGUGAAAUGCGUAGAGAUUGGGAAGAACACCGGUGGCGAAAGCGCUCUACUGGGUCGCACCUGACCCUCAGGGACGAAAGCUAAGGUAGCG